GUAGGGAAUAUUGGGCAAUGGAGGCAACUCUGACCCAGCCAUGCCGCGUGCAGGAAGACGGUCCUCUGGAUUGUAAACUGCUUUUGAAUGGGAAGAAACGCACUUUUGCGAAAGUGUUUGACGGUACUAUUAGAAUAAGCACCGGCUAACUCCGUGCCAGCAGCCGCGGUAAUACGGAGGGUGCAAGCGUUAUCCGGAUUUAUUGGGUUUAAAGGGUGCGUAGGCGGCUUGAUAAGUCUGGGGUUAAAGGCGGCAGCUUAACUGUACGCAUGCCCUAGAUACUGUUGAGCUUGAGUGACCUGGAGGUAGCUGGAAUUCCCUGUGUAGCGGUGAAAUGCAUAGAUACGGGGAGGAAUACCGAUUGCGAAGGCAUGUUACUACGGGUAAACUGACGCUGAUGCACGAAAGCGUGGGGAUCAAACAGGAUUAGAUACCCGAGUAGUCCC
rnacentral:rRNA from 1 species